GGGGUGGCGGGGCCCUGACUAAGUAAGAUGCUGGACUUUGGUGUUACUAGCCGGGAUGGGAAACACUGGAGGUUUUGAGCAGAGGAGUAACAUGAUCUGACUUUGAUUUUGAAAGAAUUCCUCUGGCUGCUAUUUUGAGAGUAGAUUGAAGCCGGUCAGGGAUGGAAGCAGAACAGUUAGAAUAAUUUAGGACAGAGAGGAUGGAGGCUCGGGCCAGCCUGUUAGCGGCAGAGGUGUGAUAAGUGCGCUGAUUCUGAACAUGCCUGGAAGAUAAGUCCACAGGAUUUGCUACCAGAGCAGAUGUAAGGGUUAAAACGUGAGGACUGAAAAUCGGCCACUGAAUUUACCAACAUGCAGAGAUCACUGGCGAUCUUGACAGAAGCAGAAAGGCUUAUCGAACUCUUAUGCUGCUGUGCAGCCAUCUCAGGCAGUAAAUGUCUCACCUCCUGGAGUAAAUGCCCUCUUUGCUCGUGACCGCCUCUUCCAGGCCAUUCUGCCAUCAGCUUCAGUCAGACUGUAGGCAGGACUUCAUUGAUUACCAGCCUUUACAGACCCCCAGUCUAAUAAAGAGACCACAAUGAUGCUUUGGGUCUUCAGGUAUCAUUUUCAACUCAGACAAGUUGACUGAUUCCCAUAUGAUCCAGCAAUUCUACUACUAAGUAUAUAUCCAAAAGAAAAGAAACCAAUAUGUCAAACAUACCUCUGCACUCCCAUGUGUACUGCAGCACUAUUCACAAUAGCCAAAAUAUAGAAUCAACCUACAUGUCCAUUAGCGGAUGAAUGG